rnacentral:rRNA from 1 species
AGAACGAACGCUGGCGGCAUGCCUAACACAUGCAAGUCGAACGAUGGCUUCGGCCAUAGUGGCGCACGGGUGAGUAACGCGUGGGAAUAUGCCUAGCAGUGGGGAAUAACCAAGGGAAACUUUGGCUAAUACCGCAUACGCCCUUCGGGGGAAAGAUUUAUCGCUGCUAGAUUAGCCCGCGUCCGAUUAGCUAGUUGGUGAGGUAAUGGCUCACCAAGGCUUCGAUCGGUAGCUGGUCUGAGAGGAUGAUCAGCCACACUGGGACUGAGACACGGCCCAGACUCCUACGGGAGGCAGCAGUGGGGAAUAUUGGACAAUGGGCGAAAGCCUGAUCCAGCAAUGCCGCGUGAGUGAUGAAGGCCUUCGGGUUGUAAAGCUCUUUCGACGGGGACGAUGAUGACGGUACCCGUAGAGAAGCCCCGGCUAACUUCGCGCCAGCAGCCGC